rnacentral:rRNA from 1 species
AAAUUGAAGAGUUUGAUCAUGGCUCAGAUUGAACGCUGGCGGCAGGCCUAACACAUGCAAGUCGAACGGUAACAGAAAGCAGCUUGCUGCUUUGCUGACGAGUGGCGGACGGGUGAGUAAUGUCUGGGAAACUGCCUGAUGGAGGGGGAUAACUACUGGAAACGGUAGCUAAUACCGCAUAACGUCGCAAGACCAAAGAGGGGGACCUUCGGGCCUCUUGCCAUCGGAUGUGCCCAGAUGGGAUUAGCUUGUUGGUGGGGUAACGGCUCACCAAGGCGACGAUCCCUAGCUGGUCUGAGAGGAUGACCAGCCACACUGGAACUGAGACACGGUCC